UUCUUCAACUGAAUAUAUCCAUAGACAGCAGGUGCUAAUGGCUUAAUUUCCUGCCGAGGUGUUUUAAAAAGAUUCUUCAAAGAAUGCUUUUUUGAGCCUCGGUCUGUGAAAAGACGAGGCUUUUUUAAUGGCUUA
rfam:Pseudanabaena biceps PCC 7429 scaffold_00064, whole genome shotgun sequence.